GGAAGGGAAAGAGGCAAGGAGGUACACCCAAAUGCUAUGGGUGUGGAGAAGUUGGGCACAUCAAACCUAAAAAAAAGUUCCACAAGUUCAUGCGUAAAGAGUAUGAACGGAUGGGAAAGAGGCUAGGAGGACCACCCAAAUUCUAUGGGUGUGGAGAAGUUGGGCACAUCAAACCUAAAUGCCCAAACACAAAGACGGAAAAGAAGACCGUCAAGAAACAAAGAGCCUACAUCUCUUGGGGAGGCGACUCCGGGGAUGAGUCAAGCGACGGAGAUAAAGAUGAGACCGCCAACUUGUGUCUCAUGGCACAUGAGGA
rnacentral:lncRNA from 1 species